rnacentral:rRNA from 1 species
AAUGCGGAAAGGAUGAGUUUGUGGGCCGGUACGAUCAUUCGCCUCAUUGGCACCGAUACACCCCCCAUACUCCUACGGGAGGCCCCAGCGGGGAAUUUUCCUCAAUGGGCUUAAGCCUGACGGAGGGGACCGCAUGGGGGAGGAAAGCCUUUGGGUUGUAAACCCCUUUUCUCAGGGAAGAAGCAAGUGACGGUACCUGAGGAAUCAGCCUCGGCUAACUCCGUGCCAGCAGCCGCGGUAAUACGGAGGAGGCAAGCGUUAUCCGGAAUGAUUGGGCGUAAAGCGUUCGUAGGUGGCAACUUUAGUCUUUUGUCAAAGACCGGAGCUCAACUCCGGAAAGGCAGUGGAAACUGGGUAGCUGGAGUGCGGUAGGGGCAGAGGGAAUUCCCGGUGUAGCGGUGAAAUGCGUAGAGAUCGGGAAGAACACCGGUGGCGAAAGCGCUCUGCUGGGCCGCAACUGACACUGAGGGACGAAAGCUAGGGGAGCGAAUGGGAUUAGAUACCCCAGUAGUCA